ACAUAGAUUUCAAAAUCUUUUUGAAGUAGCAGCAGAAAUGAUUUAUGUUAAAUUUUUUAACCCCACAUGCAAUAGAUCUAAUCUAUAUCUAUCCAAGCUCUAGGUCUAAAACAUACAUAUAAUCUAAAAAUUAAAAUAGAAAAAUUGAGAUCCGAUCUCAAUAUAUUGUGCAGGUUGAAAUACACUGCAAUCGAUGAUCCU
rnacentral:lncRNA from 1 species